rnacentral:rRNA from 1 species
AAUCAACGCUGGCGGCGUGCCUCAGACAUGCAAGUCGAACGAUUAAAGCUCUCUUCGGAGAGUGUAUAGAGUGGCGCACGGGUGAGUAACACGUAAGUAAUCUACCCUCGAGUGGGGAAUAACAACCGGAAACGGUUGCUAAUACCGCAUAAUGCAGCGGCACCGCAAGGUGACAGUUGUUAAAGAUUUAUCGCUUGAGGAGGAGCUUGCGGCAGAUUAGCUAGUUGGUAGGGUAACGGCUUACCAAGGCUACGAUCUGUAACCGGUCUAAGAGGACGGUCGGUCACACUGACACUGAAUAACGGGUCAGACUCCUACGGGAGGCAGCAGUCGGGAAUUUGGGCAAUGGGCGAAAGCCUGACCCAGCAACGCCGCGUGAAGGAUGAAGUAUUUCGGUAUGUAAACUUCGAAAGAAUAGGAAGAAUUAAUGACGGUACUAUUUAUAAGGUCCGGCUAACUACGUGCCAGCAGCCGCGGUAAU